rnacentral:rRNA from 1 species
AUUGAACGCUGGCGGCAUGCUUUACACAUGCAAGUCGAACGGGGUGGGGGGCAACCCUCAUUCAGUGGCGAACGGGUGAGUAAUGCAUCGGAACGUACCCCGGAGUGGGGGAUAACGCCGCGAAAGCGGCGCUAAUACCGCAUAUGCUCUGAGGAGGAAAGUGGGGGACCGCAAGGCCUCACGCUCUGGGAGCGGCCGAUGUCCGAUUAGCUAGUUGGGGGGGUAAUGGCCCACCAAGGCGACGAUCGGUAGCUGGUCUGAGAGGAUGAUCAGACACACUGGGACUGAGACACGGCCCAGACUCCUACGGGAGGCAGCAGUGGGGAAUUUUGGACAAUGGGGGCAACCCUGAUCCAGCCAUGCCGCGUGCGGGAAGAAGGCCUUCGGGUUGUAAACCGCUUUAGUCGGGAAGAAAGGGCAUCUCCUAAUACGGGGUGUUCUUGACGGUACCGGCAGAAUAAGCACCGGCUAACUCUGUGCCAGCCGCCGCCGUAACAC